rnacentral:rRNA from 1 species
GUAUCCUGUCUGAAUAUGGGGGGACCAUCCUCCAAGGCUAAAUACUCCUGACUGACCGAUAGUGAACCAGUACCGUGAGGGAAAGGCGAAAAGAACCCCGGCGAGGGGAGUGAAAAAGAACCUGAAACCGUGUACGUACAAGCAGUGGGAGCACGCUUAGGCGUGUGACUGCGUACCUUUUGUAUAAUGGGUCAGCGACUUAUAUUCUGUAGCAAGGUUAACCGAAUAGGGGAGCCGAAGGGAAACCGAGUCUUAACUGGGCGUUAAGUUGCAGGGUAUAGACCCGAAACCCGGUGAUCUAGCCAUGGGCAGGUUGAAGGUUGGGUAACACUAACUGGAGGACCGAACCGACUAAUGUUGAAAAAUUAGCGGAUGACUUGUGGCUGGGGGUGAAAGGCCAAUCAAACCGGGAGAUAGCUGGUUCUCCCCGAAAGCUAUUUAGGUAGCGCCUCGUGAAUUCAUCUCCGGGGGUAGAGCACUGUUUCGGCAAGGGGGUCAUCCCGACUUACCAACCCGAUGCAAACUGCGAAUACCGGAGAAUGUUAUCACGGGAGACACACGGCGGGUGCUAACGUCCGUCGUGAAGAGGGAAACAACCCAGACCGCCAGCUAAGGUCCCAAAGUCAUGGUUAAGUGGGAAACGAUGUGGGAAGGCCCAGACAGCCAGGAUGUUGGCUUAGAAGCAGCCAUCAUUUAAAGAAAGCGUAAUAGCUCACUGGUCGAGUCGGCCUGCGCGGAAGAUGUAACGGGGCUAAACCAUGCACCGAAGCUGCGGCAGCGACGCUGAUGCGUUGUUGGGUA